ensembl:lncRNA
AUGGCAGUUUUGCAUCAUCAGACGAUUCCCGUUUCUGAAUACUCUCCGGUGCCUUAUGCAUCUGUGGCACGACUGCUGCAUGGUCUGAAGGGUUACGUCACAGAAGUGGAAAGUGACGGCACGUGGGUUCUGCGCUGGACUCAUACAGAAUUCGCCUGCGUCGUCCUGCAGCGAUAUGCACCAACAGAAGACUCAAUAAAAGCUGUACAUGCAGACUUUGCAGAUUACUUUAAUGAGAAUGUCCCAAAUAGCCAAGUUUUUCAGCCGCUAGCCUGGAUCAGGAAGGAGAAGGGAAGAAGGUGCUAUGAAUUUAAUUUGCGCAAGCUCCACUGUUUGCCGUAUCAUUACAUCCACUCCGAGCAGAUUAUUCCUUUACUCACGCAGUGUCUGUUUAACUAUGAGUUCCUGCUGCACAAACUGUGGGGUCUGUCCAUCUAUCAUGUCGAGGAGGACCUUAAAGCUGCCGUCAUACCAGAGAAAGAGCUUCUGGAUGUGAAGGUGUUGGGUCAGGUUUUGUGUCUUUCUCGUUCUGUACUAUUAAAUGAUCCAUGCCAGCUGGCCUCUCAACUCUUAGGCCGUUUGGAGCGGAUCAUUUUCCAAGACAAGCCUGUUACUUCAGGUGACCCAAGACGAUACUCUUUUCUGCAUGAUCUGUUGGCACAGUGUAAGAGCUCUUCUUUACCAGUUCUCGUGCCCUCCUACACCUGCCUGCUUCCUCCAGGUGGACUCAUACACACACAGCUGUCAGGUCAUAUGAGUGCUGUGACAGCUCUAGCUCAUGGUCAGCAUUACAUAAUUUCCUGCUCCUGUGAUGGGAUGCUUAAUCUGUGGCAUCUGGAUGAGCAAACGAGACCCGUAAGGUCCUUACCGAGAGCUCACGGAUCUGCAGUAGACUGGGCCGCUGACUCGCUCACCCUCUGUCUGGAUGACAGUGUGCUUGUGCUACAGAUGGGCCACUGUCUCCAGGUGAGAGAGGUGGAUUCUGGGAAGGUGCUGUACAUGGAGAAGGAUUCUCUGGAUGUUCCUGUGGUCACAACUGCCUGCGAUGGACGGUUGCUGGUGGUUUUUUAUGACGGAAGUCACCUGGUUAAGGUGUUUGAUCUUGUGGCGUCCUGUUCACUGUUGCGUUGUGUAAACCUCACCCUUGAGUUCGAGCCCAUCCACAAAGAUCACUCCAUCUUAGUGUCUCGUCACUCUGUUAAAGACUAUCUUCUCUUCGCUUACAGGGAUGGAGGAGAAGCAGCAAUAUUCAAUGCUAAAGGUGGAGUUGUGUCAGUCACAUUGAAAGCUCAGCACCCUGCAGCAUCUAUACAGGCUGUAGAGAUCAGCUCUCAGUAUUUACUGCUCUUCUGCAGAUACCCCUAUAAAAGACAGAGUGAAAUCAUUCACAUUGAACUCUUCAGCACAGCAUCUUUCCAGUACCUGCGCUCUAUCUUGGGUUGCAGUCAGGACUACAUUUCCCAGGUCACCAUUGCAGGGGGCGGGUCCCACAUUGUGGCGUUUUGUCCCACCCCUCACAGUGCCACCACAGAGAUUAUUAUCUGGAACCUUGAGACUGAAGAUCAUAAACACAUCGCACGGUUUCCUGGCCUGCUGGCUCAUGGUGUGUGUUCAGACCUGCGGUACUGCGUGGGUUUCUGUCCUGGGGAGCGAUUCUUACGCAUGUGGAACCUGGGAUCCAGAAUAAAUGACCCAACACUCACAUAUAACGUGCACAAAGUACACAGCGACGGCACCACGGAGAUUGUAACCAUGCAGAGAUAUCCAAGGUAUGUAGUGUGUCAAAGCACCCGUCCCGGGACUGUGAGAAUCUGGAAUGUGGCACGGACGCGAUUCAAAGGUCGUCCUGUGCAGGUGGAGCAUGGCCUGUUCUCCAGUUCAGACAUCGCUCUUGUACGAGACCUCAAACUCUAUAUCCUGUCUGACCGCGGUACUGCCAACUUCACCGAUACGCCUACAUCUGUCUACCAGGUACUUCUGUGCACCUCACAGACUACAGGUAUUAUACGGGACCCAUAUUUAUGCUGGUCUGACGCCCUGUCCUGAGAUCUGUCACCUGAAACUGAAGCUGAUUGUAUAGUUGUUUAUGCUUGUCAACCAUGCUCACACUUGCAUCAAGUCCAUCUUCCGCAAUGUCUCCAAUUAAUUAAAACAUGGUUAAGGCUUCCGGUCACUUUUUUGGUGACUCAUGAGAUGCCUCUUCACAAGGAUGAAGGACUAUUGUGUUGUUUCAAAUACAGUUAACGCUAAAAUAGAUCAUUAGCUAUUAAUGAUCAGUGUCAUUUUUUCAGUAAAUCAAUCAAAUCAGUAAAAUGUAAAUAAAUACAUACAUAAAAAGGGGAAAAAUAAACA